CUGCAUUCCGAGGUAUUUGGCAGCAAGUUCACACGAGUGGAACCUCCAUUCACCACAACUGUUCCCAGAAACACAGGCUAGGUGUAAGCUACAAGGUCAGCACCACAGGCCAAAGCCACACAAACAAAAAGCUACCACCACUCACCCUGCAUCUCCAACACUGAUGACCCAGUUACCCUACAGAAGUAAUGCUUGGAUCAAAACAGAAUAACAACCCUCCCCCAAAGGACAGCUUCAACCAGGCCCUGCUGCUUGCUCUUGGUGGCUCUGAGUUUUGACCUGAGAACCUUGGGUCAUGUGGUGUACCUAUAAAUCAUCUGCAGGGUGCAUUUGGAUUCACCAGCUUCAGUGCCAGGUCCUAGGGUUAUUCACCAGGAUCGUUGACAGCUCAGGUGGAUGAAUCUUCUAGACGUGGGAACGGUAUCUGUCAUUUCCAGUGUUUUAUACCAACACCCAAUGCUACUGACUAAUCGCCACCUCAACCACACAGCCCAGCUGGGUUUAUUCUUUUUAAACUUUUUAUUCAUUCAC